AAUAUUGCACAAUGGAGGAAACUCUGAUGCAGCGACGCCGCGUGAGCGAUGAAGGCUUUCGAGUAGAAAAGCUCUUUCCUAGGGGAAGAUAAUGAAGGUACCCUAGGACGAAGCACUGGCUAACACCGUGCCAGCUGCCGCGGUAAUACGCAGGGGGCGAGCGUUGUGCGGAAUUAUUGGGCGUAAAGGGUUCGCAGGCGGCCUUUUAAGUCAGAUGUGAAAGCCCACGGCUUAACCGUGGUAAGCAUUUGAAACUGGAAGGCUUGAGUUAAGGAGAGGAAAGUGGAAUUCCUAGUGUAGCGGUGAAAUGCGUAGAUAUUAGGAGGAAUACCAGUGGCGAAGGCGACUUUCUGGACUUAUACUGACGCUGAGGAACGAAAGCGUGGGGAGCAAACA
rnacentral:rRNA from 1 species